GGGGGGACUCUGUCCUCCUGCUGUGGUUCUAUGCUUUUACACACACACUGUAAUUAAAGUCUCAUGGGAUGUAUACCGCGUUUAACGCAAUACAAUACAACUUUCAGCAACGGAUCUCUUGGCUCUCGCAUCGAUGAAGAACGCAGCGAAAUGCGAUAAGUAGUGUGAAUUGCAGAAUUCAGUGAAUCAUCGAAUCUUUGAACGCACCUUGCGCCCUUUGGCUAUUCCGAAGGGCAUGCCUGUUUGAGUAUCAUGAACACCUCAACUCUCAUGGUUUACCAUGAUGAGCUUGGACUUUGGGGGUCUUGCUGGCCUAUGGUCAGCUCCUCUUAAACAAAUCAGCUUGCCAGUGUUUGGUGGCGUCACAGGUGUGAUAACUAUCUACGCUUGUGGUUUCCCAUCAGGUGACCUUCAGUGAUGGAGGUUCACGCUGGGGCUCAUAAAGGUCUCUCCUCAGUGAGGAC
rnacentral:rRNA from 1 species